AUGACUAGGGAUAACCUUAGGAAGAGACACAUCAUCAAACCCCUUGAUUGUGUUUACUGCUUGGAACAAGAGUCUUGUUCUCACCUAUUUUUUGAAUGUAUAGUUGCUAAACAUCUCUGGGCCCACAUUAAGGAAUAUUUCUCUAGUCAGAUUGGCUCAUCCUUCAAAUCUGUCGCCAGAUUCUGGAUUGCUACCAAAAAGUGCUCAGUUUUAAACACUGUUAGCUCAACUGUCCUUUGGUGCCUCUGGAAAUAUAGAAAUGCUAUGAUUUUCAGUAACACCUCCUGGAUUUCCAUUUCGCAGGUCUUGAGGUUGAUCAGGAACAUGGUGAGGAACUGGGCGAUUCUCUCCUCCGGAUCGGACAAGGACAAGUUGAUGAGCUUCGUGGAAACCCUAACAAGAUCCCUCCAGAAACCAUUGGCGAUCACUUGUGGCUGA
rnacentral:rRNA from 1 species